UACAGAGGGUGCGAGCGUUAAUCGGAAUUACUGGGCGUAAAGCGCGCGUAGGCGGCUUUGCAAGUCGGGUGUGAAAUCCCCGGGCUCAACCUGGGAACUGCAUUUGUGACUGCAUCGCUAGAGUACGGCAGAGGGGGAUGGAAUUCCGCGUGUAGCAGUGAAAUGCGUAGAUAUGCGGAGGAACACCGAUGGCGAAGGCAAUCCCCUGGGCCUGUACUGACGCUCAUGCACGAAAGCGUGGGGAGCAAACAGG
rnacentral:rRNA from 1 species